UUGUAACCGUUCGGUUCCAAAAGGCAUAUUUGCUGGCUCCACCGCAAAUCCCAAUUAUUUGUCCCACCCUAGAAGUCCAAAAUGACAGCAUAGAGUGAGGGAUCAAUCAUGCAAUUCGUUUGACAUGUGAGGCACUCACGCUCUUUUUCCACUCAUUUCUCUGAAGAGUGAUACUACUUUGCAGCAGUUUGAUCAAUGUGUCAUGACAAACGCUUGCCCAAUGUAUCAUGAUUUGAUACAUAGAUGGUGCUAAUGUAAUUGCACGGGUUUACAUUAAAAGGUGAGGCUUUCCCUAUGUAUGCAAAUAUCAUGUUUGUUUGGAAUGUUAUUUGUACUCCGUCCUUACAAUUUAGCUUAUAAAUACUCAGCCAUUGCCAAGAAAGCUUCUUUUCUGUUCCAACCAGUGGAAGAUUUAGAAGUGCGCGUCGUGUGUAGUUCAAUCGUUAAAAAAAGUUAAAACUAGUUGUCCUUAAAAACUAGUAGUACGGGCAAAAGUACGGAAAAGUCCGAUAAUCGAUGGAAAAUUUACAAUACGUCCUUUGCUGAAAAUGUGCCCGACCGAAAAUGUUUGGUGAAGUGUAUGAAAAAGCUUAGAUAGAGAAAGGUCCGCAAGCGGGCCUUUCUCUUCUUUCUUUUCUUUCUUCGGAACAAGUUCCGAAAACCGCAGGACGGCCGAGGUGACAACACCCCCCCCCCUCCUGCUUCGUGCAAGCGCACCUUCCUUCCGUUACGCCAAAGUUGGACAGAAACCCGUUGGCCCAUCCGUCAUAUCGGCCACUUUCAUCCAUUGCCCGGUCGAAGACCGGAAACCGCAAAUUGGCCUGUG